CUACGGGCCGCUGCAGUGGGGAAUAUUGCACAAUGGGCGCAAGCCUGAUGCAGCCAUGCCGCGUGUAUGAAGAAGGCCUUCGGGUUGUAAAGUACUUUCAGCGGGGAGGAAGGGAGUAAAGUUAAUACCUUUGCUCAUUGACGUUACCCGCAGAAGAAGCACCGGCUAACUCUGUGCCAGCAGCCGCGGUAAUACGGAGGGUGCAAGCGUUAAUCGGAAUUACUGGGCGUAAAGCGCACGCAGGCGGUUUGUUAAGUCAGAUGUGAAAUCCCCGGGCUCAACCUGGGAACUGCAUCUGAUACUGGCAAGCUUGAGUCUCGUAGAGGGGGGUAGAAUUCCAGGUGUAGCGGUGAAAUGCGUAGAGAUCUGGAGGAAUACCGGUGGCGAAGGCGGCCCCCUGGACGAAGACUGACGCUCAGGUGCGAAAGCGUGGGGAGCAGACAGGAUUAGAUACCCGCGUAGUC
rnacentral:rRNA from 1 species